rnacentral:rRNA from 1 species
UACGUAGGGCGCAAGCGUUAUCCGGAAUUAUUGGGCGUAAAGAGCUCGUAGGCGGUUUGUCGCGUCUGCCGUGAAAGUCCGGGGCUCAACUCCGGAUCUGCGGUGGGUACGGGCAGACUAGAGUGAUGUAGGGGAGACUGGAAUUCCUGGUGUAGCGGUGAAAUGCGCAGAUAUCAGGAGGAACACCGGUGGCGAAGGCGGGUCUCUGGGCCGAUACUGACGCUGAGGAGCGAAAGCAUGGGUAGCGAACAGG